GGGUGAUGAAUCAAAGUGGCAGCGAAGCCUGAGAGCACACAGCCCACCAGGAAGAAACCACACCUCCAGGUCGGCCAGGCCGGCGUCCGCGUGGAUCGAAAGUGACCCGGAGCCAAGGUCAGUGGGCCACAUCCAAGUCCUCCCAGAGGGAAACAAGGCUCUGACUGCGGCGCCCAGCGAGGCCUCCAGCAUCGCUCCAGACACCAGGCAGGUCCAGUGCCCAGCUAGCCCAGUCACCAACUGAUAAAAUGAUGGCUCCGAAACUCCCCGCUGACAUGUUUUCCUGCAGAUGGUUCGAGGGAGGACAUGGAGGCAGCCACCUAGCUCAGCGCAGCCGCGGAGCCCACAGCAGCGCCCUCCCGAGUCCCGAGGCCGCUGCUGCCCACGUCCGCGCCCGGACACUGCCGCCCAGCUCCGCCGUCCGCGGGACACACGGCCCGGACCCGGCGGCUCGGGGCGCUUCGGGGCUGAGCUCCGGAGCCCAGGUCCGCGCGCGGUUCGUCGGGACCCGGACGCUGCGCUGGGGCCGUGCGGCGGAGACCCGCAGGGCCAUCCCGGAUGCGGACGCUCAACUUGGAGCAACUUUAAG
rnacentral:lncRNA from 1 species